rnacentral:misc_RNA from 1 species
GAAAUGCGAUAAGUAAUGUGAAUUGCAGAAUUCAGUGAAUCAUCGAAUCUUUGAACGCACAUUGCGCCCCCUGGUAUUCCGGGGGGCAUGCCUGUUCGAGCGUCAUUUCACCACUCAAGCCUCGCUUGGUAGUGGGCGACGCGGUCCGCCGCGCGCCUCAAAUCGACCGGCUGGGUCUUCCGUCCCCUCAGCGUUGUGGAAACUAUUCGCUAAAGGGUGCCGCGGGAGGUCACGCCGCAAAACAACCCCAUUUCUAAGGUUGACCUCGGAUCAGGUAGGGAUACCCGCUGAACUUAAGC